AUGUGAUCAAACUGUACGACUUAUUGCUAUAAUGAAGAUGGCUUUACAACUGAUUUGAUAUCAGUACUUCACCUUGGAUAUUCCAUACAUCUUCGUGAAUCCAAGCUUUUCUUAUCGUGGCAGAAUUGGGGCAGAUACAUUGAACAAUGAACCCUUGGCUUGGUUACGUUCACUUGAUGAACAAGAGGAACCCUCGGCUUGGUUGCGUUCACUUGAUGAACAAUGAACCCUCGGCUUGGUUACAUUCACUUUAUGAACAUGGAACUAUCGGCUUGGUUGCGUUCACGAUAUGAACAAGGAACCCUUGGCUUGGUUAUGUUCACGUUAUGAACAAGGGUUCCUUGGCUUGGUUACAUUCACUUUAUCUGGAGGCCUAAAUUAGAACUACUGAAAAUGUGGUGUCAGAUAUGUUGGGAACAAAAUUCCAUGACUUGGAGCAAAUGUCUGUGACAUUGGAUGCGAGGAUAUUUGAUUGAGCUGUACGACUUAUUUGAUGUCAGUACUUCGCCGUAGAUAUUCGAUGUCUUUGUGAAUCCAAGCUUUUGUGUCAUGAACAUUUAUAUUUCUUCCUGAUAGAAAUAUUCUGCAAGCCUUUUUUUGGCGAGUUUUGACAUUUAAA